rnacentral:lncRNA from 1 species
AGGAAACAUGUUAAAUUCUUAAGUACGAGAAUAAAGCAAUUGAAUGAAAAAUUGCAUUUUCUUUAAAGGCAAUUCCUCUUCUGGCCCCAAGAGAUUACAAGGAAAGGGAAAGAUUGACACUGGCAAAUAUAGGUUUCUACAGCAAUUAAUUAUUAUAGGGGAAUCCACGAGCAUAUCUGGAUAUGCAGAACUGUGUGACGUGGGGAGAAGCAAACACUUCCAGAUUAAAGAUCAGCUCUAUACCAAAUAUAAUCUGGAAAACUGAACUGAAGAAGUGACUUCCUGGACAAAUGGGACAACCCAUUGAAAGAAAACAGAUAUACAAUGGAAGUUCUGUGGCUGUUAAGCAUUUUGCAUUUGAGUUUCAAAAUGUAGUUUUAAGUUGCUGUAUGUUUGUUGUACUAAAUGAAAUAAAAUGUAGAAUUGCAAGCA